UACGGAGGGUGCAAGCGUUAAUCGGAAUUACUGGGCGUAAAGCGCGCGUAGGCGGUUUGCUAAGUCAGAUGUGAAAUCCCCGGGCUCAACCUGGGAAUGGCAUUUGAGACUGGUAGGCUAGAAUGUGGUAGAGGUGAGUGGAAUUCCAGGUGGUAGCGGUGAAAUGCGUAGAGAUCUGGAGGAACAUCAGUGGCGAAGGCGACUCACUGGGCCUUAUUGGACGCUGAGGUGCGAAAGCGUGGGUAGCAAACAGGAUUAGAUACCCGGGUGUCC
rnacentral:rRNA from 1 species